UCGGGAAUCUUGCACAAUGGGCGAAAGCCUGAUGCAGCAACGCCGUGUGAGCGAGGAAGGUCUUCGGAUCGUAAAGCUCUGUUGUUGGGGACGAAGGGCGAAGGGUUAAUAGCCCCUAGCCUGACGGUACCCUUCGAGGAAGCCCCGGCUAACUACGUGCCAGCAGCCGCGGUAAUACGUAGGGGGCGAGCGUUGUCCGGAAUUAUUGGGCGUAAAGAGCGUGUAGGCGGCUUGGUAAGUCUGUCGUGAAAUGCUGGGGCUCAACCGUGGACGUGGGAUGGGUGCUGGUAGGGUAGAGGAUGGUAGAGGCGAGUGGAAUUCCCGGGGUAGCGGUGAAAUGCGCAGAUAUCGGGAGGAACACCAGUAGCGAAGGCGGCUCGCUGGGCCAUUCCUGACGCUGAGACGCGAAAGCGUGGGGAGAAAACAGGAUUAGAUACCCCCGUAGUCC
rnacentral:rRNA from 1 species